rnacentral:piRNA from 1 species
UGAGAAAUGAGCUGAUAUCGUAGUG